GUAGGUGAACCUGCGGAGGGAUCAUUACACAAUACAAUAUGAAGGCCGUACGCGGCUGGAUUAUUAUAUUACCCUUGUCUUUUGCGCACUUGUUGUUUCCUGGGCGGGUUCGCCCGCCACCAGGACCACACCAUAAACCUUUUUUAUGCAGUUGCAAUCAGCGUCAGUACAACAAAUGUAAAUCAUUUACAACUUUCAACAACGGAUCUCUUGGUUCUG
rnacentral:misc_RNA from 1 species